AAGUCGUAACAAGGUAACCGUAGGUGAACCUGCGGUUGGAUCAUUACAAAGUUCGAGUGUGAGGGUAACCUUGCACUUUAACCCCAUGUGCACCGUCUUGUCUGGGUGUUUCACGACAUCCAGACAUAAACCCAGUCUUUAUAGUCUGAAUUUUUAUUAAACAAAAACAACUUUUGACAACGGAUCUCUUGGCUCUC
rnacentral:misc_RNA from 1 species